rnacentral:rRNA from 1 species
UGAACGCUGGCGGCAGGCCUAACACAUGCAAGUCGAGCGGCAGCACGGGUACUUGUACCUGGUGGCGAGCGGCGGACGGGUGAGUAAUGCCUAGGAAUCUGCCUGGUAGUGGGGGAUAACGCUCGGAAACGGACGCUAAUACCGCAUACGUCCUACGGGAGAAAGCAGGGGACCUUCGGGCCUUGCGCUAUCAGAUGAGCCUAGGUCGGAUUAGCUAGUUGGUGAGGUAAUGGCUCACCAAGGCGACGAUCCGUAACUGGUCUGAGAGGAUGAUCAGUCACACUGGAACUGAGACACGGUCCAGACUCCUACGGGAGGCAGCAGUGGGGAAUAUUGGACAAUGGGCGAAAGCCUGAUCCAGCGACGCCGCGUGUGUGAAGAAGGCCUGCGGGUUGUAAAGCACUUUUAGUGGGGAGGAAAACACCUGACCUAAUACGUCAGGAAUUGACUUAACCCAAAGAAAAACGCACCGGCUAACUCUGUGCCAGCAG